UCUCUCUCACACACACACACACACACACACACACACACACACACACACACACACACACACACACACACACACACACACACACACACACACACACACACACACACACACACACACACACACACACACACACACGAGCGAGCGAGCUGCCUCAGCUCUCGCCGGCACAGUCUGCAUCCCUACCUGGCGGCGCGUCGAGGGGAACUAACUAACCGGCUAAGUGAGAACCGCAGCUGAAAUGGAGCGUUUUCGGACACCCUGGGAGAGAGAUGUUUUCCUUAGCUACUCCAGCAGACAGGAAUCUACUAGCAGAGAAGAAAGCCUCGGUAUCCCCCAAGAGAGCAGUACAAAGCCCAGUUUGCACACAGCAGAUGCAAAAGCAAGUCCAUCUGCUACCAGCUCACAACACCACAUGGACUUGGGAGAUUUAAUCCUAGGCUUCGUCUGGCUGGCUGUGUUUGUGUAGACACCACUGAAACAAGAGGAGGGGAGGCUGAUGUGGAGGAAAGGGCCUUCACACCACCAAGGUCAAUAAGGACAAACAACGCCACCAGCAUCCCUUCACCGUGGCAGAAGAAGAGACGUGGGUAGCAGGGGGGUAGAGAGGAGGGUAGUGCCGGGGUGGGGGAUGGUAAUAACUAUGGCAGUUGCAGUGGUGGUGUAGGUUUCUAUCUCGGAGCGAUGGCAUCAUUUCCAUAGCAACCCUUAAUUUUCAAUUAAAGCAGACACAAAGCUCGUUGCCCGGGGCCAUCAGACAGUGUCAAGAGCCUCACGUUCCACACUUCCACGCUGGAGACUGAGACCAUGGCCGCUGCCACCACCACCACCACCAUCACCACUAGCGCCAUUGGGCUAGUCAAUCUCACAGGCAGCUGCCUGGGCUCAGGGCUGACACAGAGAUACCCAAAGCCUAUUUCACCUUACCCACCAUUAGAAUGAUUUAUUAUGGCCAAAACACUUCAACGCUGAAACAAAUGGAAAUUAAAAGGGAGGGGGAAACACUGGUGUGGAACUGCCACUUAGAGGUGCUGCGUUUGAAAAAUGCAUUAAAAAGGGGCCCAGCGAUGGAAUGAGUCUGGAGUAGACAGAGAGUGAGAGAGAGAGAGAGAAAGAGAGAGAGAGAGAAAGAGAGAGAGAGCGAGAGAAAGGAAGAUGGAGAGAGUGAGAAAAGGGAAAGAUAGAAAAAAGACCCUAUGGCAAGGUUCCCCAACUGGCGGCCCAUGGGCCGAAUUUGGCCCGUGGGUGGUUUUAUUUGGCCCUCCAUGUUUUCUGAGUAAAAAAAUAUGUAUAUAAAAAGACAAUUGUUGUUAGAAUUUUCAUUGUUGGAGGGUAAAAACAACAGGAACACAGCUGAUUUGUGAUUUUAAUUUUGGAAAUCUGUUCCCAAGUAUUCCCACGCAUAAUAGAGAGACCCGCGAUCAUAUACAAAUGUAAGCAAGGUUUGAAAUGAUUAUGUUGUAGUCAAAUAUUAUAUCUGUUUGGGCUUUUUGCAGUCUACAAAUGAUUUGUAAUUAUAUUCCGCCUCCCCCGACCAUCCACUCGAAUAAAAUCAGCCGGCGGUUGAAUCUAUUUUAUGAUCCCUGCCCUACGGCUUGUGUGUGCAGUGA